AACACUGUUAACCUGCGGUACCUGCGGAGGGAUCAUUAUUGAAUAAACUUGGUCAAGCUGUUGCUGGUCCUUCGGGACAUGUGCACGCUUGCCACCAAUUUUAACCACCUGUGCACUUUUUGUAGACUUGGAAACGUUUCUCGGGGCAACUCGGAUUGAGAACUGCUGGCGCAAGUCGGCUUUUCUUAUGUUUUCUCAGUCUAUGUUUUCAUAUACACCUAAUGUAUGUAUCAGAAUGUA
rnacentral:misc_RNA from 1 species